rnacentral:misc_RNA from 1 species
GUGAGUCAUCGAAUCUUUGAACGCACAUUGCACCCUAUGGUAUUCCGUAGGGUAUACCUGUUCGAGCGUCAUUAUAACCCCUCUAGCCUAGUGCUAGGUAUUGGGUCCCACCAAAGGGUGGGCCUAAAAUCUUGACAGCGGUACGAUCAUACCUUGAGCGCAGUAAAUCUCUCGCUAUAGGGUUGGUAAUAGUGCUGUAUAAGCUAUCUUCUAAGGUUGACCUCGGAUCAGGUAGGGAUACCCGCUGAACUUAAGCAUAUCAAUAAGCGGAGGA